CAGCCGCCACGGGAAUACGAAGGGUGCAAGCGUUACUCGGAGUUACUGGGCGUAAAGCGUGCGUAGGUGGUUGUUUAAGUCUGCUGUGAAAGCCCUGGGCUCAACCUGGGAAUUGCAGUGGAUACUGGGCAACUAGAGUAAGGUAGAGGAUAGUGGAAUUUCCGGUGUAGCAGUGAAAUGCGUAGAGAUCGGAAGGAACAUCCGUGGCGAAGGCGACUAUCUGGGCCAUUACUGACACUGAGGCACGAAAGCGUGGGGAGCAAACAGGAUUAGAUACCCGCGUAGUCCCUGUCUCUUAUAA
rnacentral:rRNA from 1 species